rnacentral:rRNA from 1 species
CCUACGGGUGGCAGCAGUGAGGAAUAUUGGUCAAUGGGCGGAAGCCUGAACCAGCCAAGUAGCGUGCAGGAUGACGGCCCUACGGGUUGUAAACUGCUUUUAUACGGGAAUAACGCGCCUUACGUGUAGGGCUUUGCAUGUACCGUAUGAAUAAGGACCGGCUAAUUCCGUGCCAGCAGCCGCGGUAAUACGGAAGGUCCGGGCGUUAUCCGGAUUUAUUGGGUUUAAAGGGAGCGUAGGCCGCAUGUCAAGCGUGAUGUGAAAUGUCCGGGCUCAACCCGGGCCUUGCAGCGCGAACUGGCGUGCUUGAGUCUGCGGAAGGCAGGUGGAAUUCGUGGUGUAGCGGUGAAAUGCGUAGAGAUGACGAGGAACACCGAUGGCGAAGGCAGCUUGCUGCAG